rnacentral:rRNA from 1 species
AGUGAACGCUGGCGGUAGGCCUAACACAUGCAAGUCGAACGGCAGCACAGUAAGAGCUUGCUCUUACGGGUGGCGAGUGGCGGACGGGUGAGGAAUACAUCGGAAUCUACUUUUUCGUGGGGGAUAACGUAGGGAAACUUACGCUAAUACCGCAUACGACCUACGGGUGAAAGCAGGGGAUCUUCGGACCUUGCGCGAUUGAAUGAGCCGAUGUCGGAUUAGCUAGUUGGCGGGGUAAAGGCCCACCAAGGCGACGAUCCGUAGCUGGUCUGAGAGGAUGAUCAGCCACACUGGAACUGAGACACGGUCCAGACUCCUACGGGAGGCAGCAGUGGGGAAUAUUGGACAAUGGGCGCAAGCCUGAUCCAGCCAUACCGCGUGGGUGAAGAAGGCCUUCGGGUUGUAAAGCCCUUUUGUUGGGAAAGAAAAGCAGCAGAUUAAUACCCCGCUGUUCUGACGGUACCCAAAGAGUAAGCACCGGCUAACUUCGUG